UACGUAGGGUGCGAGCGUUGUCCGGAAUUAUUGGGCGUAAAGGGCUCGUAGGCGGUUUGUCGCGUCGGGAGUGAAAACACCGGGCUUAACUCGGUGCUUGCUUUCGAUACGGGCAGACUAGAGGCAUGCAGGGGAGAACGGAAUUCCUGGUGUAGCGGUGAAAUGCGCAGAUAUCAGGAAGAACACCCGUGGCGAAGGCGGUUCUCUGGGACGGUACUGACGCUGAGACGCGAAAGCGUGGGGAGCGAACAGG
rnacentral:rRNA from 1 species